AUUGAACGCUGGCGGCAUGCUUUACACAUGCAAGUCGAACGGUAACAGGGUGCUUGCACCGCUGACGAGUGGCGAACGGGUGAGUAAUGCGUCGGAACGUGCCGAGUAGUGGGGGAUAACGCAGCGAAAGUUGUGCUAAUACCGCAUACGUACUGAGGUAGAAAGUGGGGGACCUUCGGGCCUUACGCUAUUCGAGCGGCCGACGUCUGAUUAGCUAGUAGGUGAGGUAAAGGCUCACCUAGGCGACGAUCAGUAGCGGGUCUGAGAGGAUGAUCCGCCACACUGGGACUGAGACACGGCCCAGACUCCUACGGGAGGCAGCAGUGGGGAAUUUUGGACAAUGGGCGAAAGCCUGAUCCAGCCAUGCCGCGUGUCUGAAGAAGGCCUCCGGGUUGUAAAGGACUUUUGUCAGGGAGGAAAUCCCUAGCGUUAAUACCGCUGGGGGAUGACAGUACCUGAAGAAUAAGCACCGGCUAACUACGUGCCAGCAGCCGCCGUAA
rnacentral:rRNA from 1 species